rnacentral:rRNA from 2 species
GACGAACGCUGGCGGCGUGCCUAAUACAUGCAAGUCGAACGAACUCUGGUAUUGAUUGGUGCUUGCAUCAUGAUUUACAUUUGAGUGAGUGGCGAACUGGUGAGUAACACGUGGGAAACCUGCCCAGAAGCGGGGGAUAACACCUGGAAACAGAUGCUAAUACCGCAUAACAACUUGGACCGCAUGGUCCGAGUUUGAAAGAUGGCUUCGGCUAUCACUUUUGGAUGGUCCCGCGGCGUAUUAGCUAGAUGGUGGGGUAACGGCUCACCAUGGCAAUGAUACAUAGCCGACCUGAGAGGGUAAUCGGCCACAUUGGGACUGAGACACGGCCCAAACUCCUACGGGAGGCAGCAGUAGGGAAUCUUCCACAAUGGACGAAAGUCUGAUGGAGCAACGCCGCGUGAGUGAAGAAGGGUUUCGGCUCGUAAAACUCUGUUGUUAAAGAAGAACAUAUCUGAGAGUAACUGUUCAGGUAUUGACGGUAUUUAACCAGAAAGCCACGGCUAACUACGUGCCAGCAGCCGCGGUAAUACGUAGGUGGCAAGCGUUGUCCGGAUUUAUUGGGCGUAAAGCGAGCGCAGGCGGUUUUUUAAGUCUGAUGUGAAAGCCUUCGGCUCAACCGAAGAAGUGCAUCGGAAACUGGGAAACUUGAGUGCAGAAGAGGACAGUGGAACUCCAUGUGUAGCGGUGAAAUGCGUAGAUAUAUGGAAGAACACCAGUGGCGAAGGCGGCUGUCUGGUCUGUAACUGACGCUGAGGCUCGAAAGUAUGGGUAGCAAACAGGAUUAGAUACCCUGGUAGUCCAUACCGUAAACGAUGAAUGCUAAGUGUUGGAGGGUUUCCGCCCUUCAGUGCUGCAGCUAACGCAUUAAGCAUUCCGCCUGGGGGGUACGGCCGCAAGGCUGAAACUCAAAGGAAUUGACGGGGGCCCGCACAAGCGGUGGAGCAUGUGGUUUAAUUCGAAGCUACGCGAAGAACCUUACCAGGUCUUGACAUACUAUGCAAAUCUAAGAGAUUAGACGUUCCCUUCGGGGACAUGGAUACAGGUGGUGCAUGGUUGUCGUCAGCUCGUGUCGUGAGAUGUUGGGUUAAGUCCCGCAACGAGCGCAACCCUUAUUAUCAGUUGCCAGCAUUAAGUUGGGCACUCUGGUGAGACUGCCGGUGACAAACCGGAGGAAGGUGGGGAUGACGUCAAAUCAUCAUGCCCCUUAUGACCUGGGCUACACACGUGCUACAAUGGAUGGUACAACGAGUUGCGAACUCGCGAGAGUAAGCUAAUCUCUUAAAGCCAUUCUCAGUUCGGAUUGUAGGCUGCAACUCGCCUACAUGAAGUCGGAAUCGCUAGUAAUCGCGGAUCAGCAUGCCGCGGUGAAUACGUUCCCGGGCCUUGUACACACCGCCCGUCACACCAUGAGAGUUUGUAACACCCAAAGUCGGUGGGGUAACCUUUUAGGAACCAGCCGCCUAAGGUGGGACAGAUGAUUAGGGUG